AAAAAACCAAAAAAAGCCUACACCCCUCGUCCCCGAUUUUUCCGUCGAGCAACCCCAACAACCUUUCGUCGUCACAACAGCCAACGACCCCCGACGUCCCCAGCCUUCCCGUCCAUUCCUGCCCAAACUACCAGCCCCCUUUUACCAAGCUGCCCGUCGCUGGAACGAGCAGCCACCUCCAUCCAAACCAGUCGCCCAGCCCCGCCUCCAGCUCAACCAGCAACCCUUUGUCGACAGCCCUGUUGCUUCAUCGUCCCACAACCAAAUAGCUCCUCCAAUCCAGCCCCGUCGUUGCCCAGAAAUAGCCAUCCGAGGUCGUGCUCAGUUAUACGUCGAGGCGGUUCGUCGAGAGUCCGUUCGAGUUCGCCAUUGGUCGUUGGUUCCUGUUCGUGGUUCGUGGUAGCAUCCCUGCGGCCAUAUCAGUUUUUGGUCGGAGUUCGGCCAUCGAAAAGGGUUGUCACUGUGAGGUUCCCCUCUUAUGUCAAUUUGGAAGUUUAUAUCUAUGUUUUAAAGGAUGUUUAGCUUUUGCUUCAUUGUUUGAGUUGAAACUGUUUGUUUAAUUUAACAUGCUUUGUUUAAUAUGAAUUUGAUAUUAGGAACGUAAAUGACUUAG
rnacentral:lncRNA from 1 species